UUGAUUUGCAGUAGUUCUCAGUCAAUCGAUUAAAGAGUUUUGCUUAGCAGUGAGUCCCUUCUGUAGGCAGUUUGCCUUGGCGCUCAAAUUUACAGAGAGGGAGACAGUAAAAGCUGUAGGAUUCGAGCCGUGGUCUUUUUUUUUUGUUUUUCAUCAAUGUAAUUUUUUUCUUGCUCAAUUUGUUAUGGAUAUAGAUGUCUUGGUAAGCAGCGACACUACUUGGAUGCAGCCUGUUUGUUCCUCAGACUUGUCAUGUGUUCAGUUACAACAGCCUCUCAUAAUUAAACCACCACGUCUUUGUGAGUUUCCUGCCUGCCUCUCCUUGUUGGUCCCUGUUUAGUCCCUACAGAUUCACUAUAAGAUCCUAUCAUUUUUUUAUUGGCCUUUGUUACCAUUUAAUUUGGAGAUGUUUCUUCCUCAUUAUGUAUCGAAGAUGCAGUGUGGUACAAUACUUCUUCUUGCUAGGGAAUUUAUAUUUGAUAAACAAAGAUGUUUGUUUUUUAGUUAUGAAUCAAAGCUGCAGUUGUGGCACAGCACUGCUUUGCUUGGUAGGCAAUUUAUAAUCAGAAGAAGUUUCAACAGGGACAUUGUAAAUCUUGGAAGUACAGAGUUAUAAAGUACUACUGCCAGUUUCUACCUUGAGUAGAUGAAUCUUGAUUUUCAUGCUUUAUCUAAAAAUCUAUAAAUUACCACUAGUAUGUAAUUUACAAAGACUAAAUGAAAAAUAGACUUCACCUAUAUUCAAAAACUAAAUAUGGGUGAUGUCUAAUUUUUAUUUAGUGUUGUAUAGUAUACGACAGAUGCUCCAAGGUUUACUAACUCUGGUAGGCAUUUCAUCGUUAUUGACGACGUAUGGGAUAUAAAAUCCUUGCAAGCAUUAGAAUCAGCUUUGCAUCAGAAAGAUAAUGGAAGUAGAGUUGUCAAAACUACUUGAAAUCUAGAAGUUGCCAGUGGCGAUGAAGAUUACCAGCUUGGCUCUCUUUCACAUGAUAACUCAAAGCUCUUUUACAUGAGGCUAAAGGUAGUGUCUGACGCUAAAGAUUUUUACCGGCAGGACUUACACCGGCAGCAGAAGUCUGUCGCUAUAGGUUUUUAGCGUCAAAUUGUCUGCCCCUAUAACUGCUUUUGCCGUCAGAUCAUCCAUCGCUAAUUUUAGUGUUGUGGUGUAGUGUUGCUUUACUAACAGAUAAAGAAAGAAAGGCUCUACCAAAGGUUAUAUGAUUAAGACCAAUGUGGAAAUAUCGAGAAAAAACAUGGUCUUGUAGGGCUAGGUUUAAACCAAAAUUUAUAGAAAGAUUAAAAGAUUCCCUAAGUGUAGCUAAAAGUUCAUUAUCUUCUUGAUUAAAAGAUAGAACCUCGGCUAUAGAAAAGGGUUGGUUUUGACCUAUCGUAAUCAACUCUGGACACAGAUCAUAAUUAAGGGCAGGACUUGUUGACUCCCAUGGUCUAUGGCUGGUCUCCGAAGGUACAAAAAAUUCAAUAAUAGGUAUGGAGUUUGAGUUAUCCAUGGAAAAAAUAAAAAGAUAAAAGAAUAAAAGUAUAAAAGUAUAAUACAAGAUAAUAGCAAGACUUAAAAUUAUCUCAGCAAACUGUCUUUCUCCCCGGCAACGGCGCCAAAAAUGCUUGUUGAUAUUGGUAACGCAAUAACGAAAUGAUCCGCAAGCGCACGGAUAUCGGUGAGCAUUUCACCCGGGAGGUUAUCCAGAGUUAUCGUAUUUAUAUUUUUACCACUAAGAGAAAGCGUGCAUCUGACUAACCAAAUCUAUUGCUACUACCCUUUAGGCUACAAAGAAUGUUUCUCGAUGUGACUGAUGUAUAGAGAAGACUGCAACCGUAGUCUCGUUCUAACCUUGGUAAGGAUGAUCUACUGUUCUAUUGGGGAAGCUUACAGAAUCUAGACACCACAAAGGAUGUUUGACCCGCACCUAUAAACCCUACCCUUCCUGCUAACAAGAUGUGGGCUGCAAAGGUAACUCGGAAAUGUCACGUUCCUCGUUACUACCACGGUCCAGCUAGUCAGGGGAUAUCUAUGAGUACCCUAGCCCAAACACCACGUUUACGCUAGCAAUGAUUACUCUAAACUCAACCGGAAGAGAUUAAAGUAAACUCAUAAACCAAAGAACAAUAAAACAAGAACUUACUAGAAUUAGAAGUCGAAUUACUGAAGAAUCCUAGGAGCAAGCCUUGGGUUAGGAGACUUGAUCCCACAGGUACAACCUCGAAGUAGACACCGACAGGCCGGGCUUCCUCCGAUCUACACCUCCACUCUAUCUCUCUCAAUCUAGUAGAAACUAGAAGAUCUAAUUCUACUCACAUUGGAUGCUAAGCCUAAAAGAAAUUUUAUUUAGAGGAGAGGUAUUCCUUCGAGGGCUCCUCUCAACUCUAUGAUGAACUUGUUCUCCUCCAGGGGCCAGGGGGUCUGGUUUUAUAGUCCCCUCAAGUGAAUAUGGGUCGUUAGAUCAAACCGACAUUGAUUGAACAGUUAUCCUUGAUCCUUUAGGUCGGUGGAGCGUAAUCCCCGAAGAGAGUCCUGAUUGGACUCUAGGUCAGGGCGGGCGCCCAAGGGGGGAGGGCGGGCGCCCUGCCCUUGGGCCCGAUCGCCUUCCCGUUCGUUCCCGUGGCUUCUGGAGUCUUCUAGAUGAUAGAAAAUUGCGUGGCACGUUAGUAUCUCUAUGUAAACCCGACGUGUGGGCCUUUCUUCCGUAUUUCCUGAUAGCCCCCUGCAGAAAUAGACAAACACCAAAACUCGUGGAAUUCUGUCAGACAAAACCCUAAGUCUGGGUGUUGGUUGCAUUUGGAUCCUUUUCUUUAUUUAUUUGAUGAUUAUAUUUGGUACUUAAGGACCGUCAACAGAAACAACCAUCAAAAAAGUGAGAAGUGACAAUGGAAGUGAAUUCAAGAACACAAGAGUUGAUGAGCUUUGUGAUGAAUUUGGUAUUGGACAUCAAUUCUCGGCCAAGUAUACUCCACAAUCAAAUGGUCUUGUUGAGAGGAAGAAUAGAACCUUGAUUGGCAUGGCAAGAUCAAUGUUGAGUGAGUACAAUGUGAGUCAUUCGUUUUGGGCCGAAGCCAUCAACACGGCUUGCUACUAUAGCAACCGACUCUAUUGUCACCCAAUGAUGGAAAAGACACCUUAUGAGCUCUUGAAUGUUAGAAAGCCCAAUAUUGCAUACUUUUGGGUUUUUGGUUGCAAAUGCUACAUAUUGAAGAAAGGCACUAGAUUGAGCAAAUUUGAAAAGAAAUGUGAUGAAGGUUUCUUGCUUGGUUACUCCACUACUAGCAAAGCUUAUAGAGUUUGGAAUUUGGCUAGUGGUACUCUUGAAGAGGUGCAUGAUGUUGAGUUUGGUGAAACCAAUGGCUCUCAAGAGGAAGGUGAAAAUCUAGAUGAUGUGAGAGGCACUCAAUUGGCCGAUGCAAUAAAGAACAAGGAUAUUGGUGAUUUAAGGCCUAAAGAGGUGAUUGAUAUUGAAGAUGACAAAGAUCAAGUGCUUCCUACCUCUAAUGUGCAAGCAAGUGGUUCUCAUGAUCAAAAGUAAGCUAGUACAGGUGGUACACAAGUGCAAGAUCAACAAUCUAGUACAUCAUCUCAUGAUCAACUAAGUGCAAGCAAUCAAGUGCAAAUACUUCAACCAACCAAUAUUGCAAGAGAUCAUCCAUCAGAUCAUAUCAUUGGUGACAUUCAAAGAGGAGUGCAAACUAGAUCAAGACUAGCAUCAUUUUGUGAGCACAUCUCCUUUGUGUCUCACAUUGAGCCAAAGAAGAUUGAUGAAGCUUUGGGAGAUGUUGAUUGGGUUAAUGCUAUACAUGAAGAGCUCAACAAUUUCAAGAGAAAUCAAGUAUGGGAAUUAAUUGAGAGGCCUAGUGAUCAUAAUGUCAUUGGUACUAGAUGGGUCUUUUGCAACAAACAAGAUCAAGAUGGGAUACUUGUAAGAAACAAAGCAAGAUUGGUAGCACAACGAUAUACUCAAGUUGAAGGUCUGGACUUUGGUGAAACAUAUGCCCCGGUUGCAAGAUUGGAAGCAAUUAGGAUCUUGUUGGCCUAUGAUUGUGCACAUAACAUCAAGUUAUAUCAAAUGGAUGUGAAGAGUGCAUUUCUCAAUGGCUGUAUCAAUGAAGAAGUAUAUAUUGAACAGCCUCCCAGUUUUGAAGAUGACAAGAAACCCAACCAUGUUUACAAGCUAAGAAAGGCAUUGUAUGGUUUGAAGCAAGCACCAAGAGCAUGGUAUGAAAGAUUGAGAGAUUUCUUACUCUCUAAAGGUUUCAAGAUGGGCAAGGUUGACACCACUCUCUUCACCAAGAUGAUUGGCAAAGACUUGUUUAUGUUGCAAAUAUAUGUUGAUGAUAUCAUAUUUGGAUCAACCAACCAAGAAUUUUGUGAGGAGUUUGGAAACAUGAUGGCUAAUGAAUUUGAGAUGUCAAUGAUUGGAGAGCUUACUUACUUCCUUGGUCUUCAAAUCAAGCAAUUGAAGAAUGGCGCAUUUGUGAGUCAAGGUAAGUACAUAAAAGACAUGCUCAAGAAGUUUGACAUGGACGAUGCAAAAUCAAUUAGCACUCCAAUGGGAACAAAUGGAAGCCUAUAUAGUGAUACAAGUGGAAAUAUGGUGGAUCAAAAGUUGUAUCGGUCUAUGAUUGGAAGCCUACUCUAUGUGACCACAUCAAGACCAGAUGUCAUGUUUAGUGUAUGCAUGUGUGCAAGAUUCCAAGCCUCACCAAUAGAAAGUCAUUUGAAGGCAACAAAGAGAAUAUUGAGGUACUUAAAGCAUACACAAAAUGUUGGUUUGUGGUAUCCCAAAGGUGCAAAGUUUGAACUCAUAGGAUAUUCUGAUUCGGACUAUGCGGGAUGCAAAGUUGAAAGAAGAAGCACAUCGGGCACAUGUCAACUAUUGGGAAGAUCACUUGUCUCAUGAUCAUCCAAGAAGCAAAAUAGUGUUGCACUAUCAACCGCCAAAGCGGAGUACAUUGCGGCCGGUAGUUGUUGUGCACAAAUCCUAUGGAUGAAGGCAACCGUGAAAGACUUUCGAAUCAACUUCAAGCAAGUGCCAUUGCUAUGUGACAAUGAAAGUGCUGUGAAGCUCACCAACAAUAUGGUUCAACAUUCAAGAACAAAGCACAUAGAUGUCCGCCAUCAUUUCAUAAGACAUCACCAACAAAAAGGGGACAUUUGCAUUGAGAGUAUAGGCACUGAUGAUCAACUUGCCGAUAUAUUCACCAAGUCACUUGAUGAGAAGAGGUUUUACAAGCUAAAGAAUGAAUUGAACAUACUUGACUUCUCAAAUAUGUGUUGAUGCACCCCCCCCCACUAUAUGACAUGCGUCUCCUUCGAGCAAAGCAAGGUAUAGUUGAUUGACAUGUCAUUCAUUCUUUGCUCAGGACUUGUUUAGCAUAUCUAUUCAUUCCUUACAUGUCUUAGGCUCAUUCAUGAAAAUCAAAUGAAUUUGAUGCUUGUAUGGUACCACUAUUGCUUCUAUGCUUGACAUGAUCUAGUGGUAGCAUAUGACAUGUUUGUGGGCUUGCAAUCCUAGUGUUUGAUCUAGAAUAUGAGCUAUAAGUGUUUAACUCAACAUGGUAUAAGAUAACCCUUAUUUGGAGGUGUGAAAAGCUUGUCCUUGGAUCAAACCAAGUUAAAUAUCUUAGGCAAGUAAUCUUGAUUGGACCAAUUUGGAAAAAUAAUCUCACUUCACAUAGUUUUACACUAACCUAUCUAAAAUUUGAGCUCACCUUUUGUGGUCAUUAAUGACAAAGGGGAGAGAAUUUCCCAAAGAUUUGCUAAAGGUGGAGAGAAAUUACAAAAGAAGUACAAAGAUAGGGGAGUAACAUGAUAAAAGAAGGGGAUCAAUUAAAAUUUUAAAGCACACAAGUAGGGCGAGCAAGCUCAUAAACUUGUAUGUUGCAUUUGAAUGUGCAUCACAUAUAUUUGCUUGCAUUUGCAUUAGCUUUAGAAGCUUUCUCUUUGAUACCUUGCUUGUGUGGUGUAUGCUAGUUGUAAGUAUGAUUGAUGAAAUGAAGAACUAGCAUGCAUAGGUAGUGUAACUAGACUUUUAGUUGCUUCACAAGUGGUACUAGAUCUUGUUUAUAAUGUUGAUCUCACGUGGUGUUCUAGUUUUGUGAAUGCCUAGUUACUAAUGGUGUCAAGGAUGGUGUAUAUUGGCAACUCCGAUUGGUAUCACGCUUCAAAGAUCCAUUCUUUACACCUUAGCAUCAUUUCUUAGAAAUUGACUCUUAUAUUUUCUAUUCAAGCAUAUGUGCAAGCAUUCAAAUCCAAACUCUUAGCACAUAUGUAGGGGGAGCAAUUGCUACCAAUUUGGGUUUAUGAAACUUGUCCAUAACCUUUGCACAUGGUAAAAUGCUUGGGCAAGAAACAUGAAUCCAAACAAUUUUAUUGAAAAUCUUUAUAAAAGGGUUGUCAUCAAUUACCAAAAAAGGGGAGAUUGAAAGCCCUAGUUUGUUGUUGGAUAAUUAAUGAAACCCUAGUACUAACCUUUAUACUAAGUGUGUGUAGACUUAAUGAGGUUAGUACAUGCCAAGUGAUGGAGCAAGUGAUGAUCAUGGUGAUGAUGGUGAUGACCACAAGAUGAUCAAGUGCUCAACUUGGAAAAGAAGAAAGAGAAAAACAAAACCCUAUGGAGAUCAAGGCAAAGGUAUUGCUUAGGGUUUUAGUUUUGGUGAUCAAGACACCAUAGAGGGUGUGAUCACAUUUAGGAUAGAUAGCUGUGCUAUAAAGAGGGGAAUUCUUUGGCUAAGUGGUUAUCAAGUGCCACUAGGUGUCAUUGUUCAUGUGCAUGUAUUUAGAACCUAGUGAGCUAACUUAACUCCUUCGAAGAAAAUGUUUGUGAAAAUGCUAACACACUUGCACAUGUUGGUACACACAUGGUGGUGUUGGCACACUUUAAGAAGGAGGUGGAGUUUGAAGGGUAGAGAGGGGUUUGGGUUUCUCUCUCCCUUUGGUGAUUUGGUGCUUUUGAGAAAAAGAAAUGCAUAUUUUCUGUUGCACUAAUGGAAAGUUUGGAGAAGUCAUUGGAGUGUUUCUCACUGAAAACACUCACCGGAAGCUCUGACCAUGGCACCGAACGCUGAGCCUGCGCGUCCGGUGUGCUGUCAGUCUCUAGUUGAGUUAGAAGCAAGCACCAGACGCUAAGCACCGGACGCGGGCUAGUCCCUGUUCUUGUGUCCGGUGUGACUUGACAUCAGCAGUGUGACUAUGAGUGUUUUUGACUGAGAGCACCAGACACUUAGGAAUGAGUCCCGUGGCUGCGUCUGGUGACCAUGCGCAUUUUGACAACCUCUCUACGUACGUGAUCAGUGUGCACUAGACGCGUCCGGUAUCUACUUGACCGCGUCCGGUGGUUCAAAUUUGACCAUUAGAUAUCAACGUGCGAGGUUCGAUUAGCUGACAUGUGGCUAGAUCUGGAGCACCGAACGCAGGGGUUGAGCGUUUGGUGGUCAACUGUUGUGCGUCCGGUGACCCCGUGCUUUGCCUAGUAGAAGAGCCAACGGCUCUAUUUGUUUAAGGGGCUUAUAAAUACGUGUUGGCCGGCUUGGGGCUCACUCUCUUGGCAGUCUUGACUACUUGACAUCCUAGUGAGCCUAAGCAAACACCUCCCACUCAUCUCUUUCAUAGAUUAACCAUCUUUGUGAGAUUGGGAGUGAUCCCAAGUGCAUUUGCUUGAGUGAUUGCAUCUAAUGGCACUUGGGGAUCGAUUUGGCUAUGGUUUUCUUGUUACUCUUGGUGGUUGCCGCCACCUAGACAGCUUGGAGCAGCGGAGGAGCAUUGGCACAAGUUGGUGAUUGUUCGUGGCCAUCUCCCGGUGAGUAUGAGGGGUUUUGUGCCUACCCUGGCGGAGAGUCAAAGGCAACUUUAGUGGAUUGCACGUGUCAUUGAGCUACCUCACUUGUGGGUAGGUGUUGGUCGAUACAACGGGGACGUAGUGUGCCGGCGAACCACCAAGUGUUGUCGAUACAACGGGGACGUAGUGUGCCGGCAAGCACAUGAACCUCGGGAGAAAAAUCGGUGUCUCAAUUGUGUUUGAUUGACAUUCUCUCGGUGCAUGAUUGUUCAUAUAUUGGUGAUUUUUCUAUAAAUUUGCUGGCACAAAAAUGCGUUUUGCAUAAUUGGUGAUAGUAAGAACUGAAAUGCCAGCUACAAAUUAAGAGAAACAAUAUAAUAAUAAGAAGUGCGUAUAUUUUACUACAAAACAGUGGGCACAGUAUGAUGUUUUAUAGGAAAAGUUCAUAUACUUCUUAUUAUUAUAUUGUUUCUCCUAAUUUCUAGUUGGCAUUUUAGUUCUUACCACCACAGAUUAUGCAAAACAUCAUACUGUGCCCACUGUUUUGUAGGAAAACUUCUUGUACUUCUUAUUAUUAUAUCAUUUCUCUUAAUUUGUAGCUAGUAUUUCAGUUCUUACCACAACAAAUUAUGCACAACAUCAUAUUAUGCCUAUUGUUUUGUAGAAAAAAGGCAUGUGCUUCUUACUAUAAUAUUGUUUCUCUUAAAUUCUAGCUGGCAUUUCAGUUCUUACCACCACAUGUUAUGCAAAACAUCAUACUACGCCCGUUGUUUUGUAGGAAAACUACAUGUACUUCUUAUUAUUAUAUUAUUUCUCUUAAUUUCUAGCUAGCAUUUUAGCUCUUACCACCACAGAUUAUGCAAAACAUCAUACUGUGCCCACUGUUUUGUAGUAAAAUAUACGCACUUCUUAUUAUUAUAUUGUUUCUCUUAAUUUGUAGCUGGCAUUUCAGUUCGUACUACCACCAAUUAUGCAAAACGCAUUUUUGUGCCAGCAAAUUUAUAGAAAAAAUUUAUGUACUUCUCACUAUUCUUUUACUAUAAGUAUACCCAUUCCUUUCACUUACAGGCCCGAACAUUAGCACAAAGAACAUAAUAGACUACUAAUUUCAUAAUGAAAAGGGAGACAGUGCCUUCAUGGCUAGAACUGUUGCUUGCGGCACAAUUCUUUACGACUUGUGCAAACCAUCUUCUUGUUAGUCGCAAUGAGUGUAACCUAUUUUGCACUCAGUGCGAGGCUACACCAACUGCUUUAUGCAACCAUUGCCGUUCAAGUGAUCAUUCCACUCAUCAUGUAAUCCAGGUAAGAAAUGUGCAGUUAUGUAGUCAAUGGAAAGGUAAAGCAUAGCAUAUAUACAUGUCAUACAAUUCAAAACUUUAUGAUUGGGAUUUUUUCUCUUGUUGCUUCUUAUUAUGUCACCUCAUAAUUAAGAAAUGUUAUAAAACUUUACAUAUGUGUUGUAGAUUUAGGUGUAUAGAAAUAUAUUUCAUUCAUAGGCCAUGCAUCCUUGGAGCAAGCACACAUAUGAUCUAUGAAAGUAUGGUAGUAAUUAAGUUUCAAAUAAUCGGAUGUUUCAGAUAAGGCGAUCAUCCUACCAUGACGUUGUGAGGGUUUCAGAGAUUGAGGACAUCCUUGAUAUUAGCGAUGUGCAAACAUAUGUAAUCAAUAGUGCAAGGGUCGUAUUCUUGAAUGAGCGCCCACAACUGCGUGCUUCUGGUGUCCCUAUUUGUAAAGCACCUUCAUCAUCAACACAUAGCUGCGAGACAUGCAAUCGUGCUCUACUUGGUGCUUUUCGCUUCUGUUCUCUUGGAUGCAAUGUAAGUUAUCACAAACUACCUAAUGAUGUUAUUUUCUAGAAAGUACAAAAUUAAGAAAUAAGUUUCAUAAUUAAUGGAUUGCAUAUAUCUAAUAAACUCCUUAUCUUUUACAGCUUAGAGGCAUAAAUAUGGAAAGGAGUACGCCAGCCAUGGUUGAAAACAACCCUCAAUCUGAUAUUAAGAAUCAUUUGACUAUUGACAGUGUUGGUUCAAGUACUACAAGUGACAAAGACAGCUGCAAUGACAAUAACAACGAAGAACCACCACCGAAAAGGGUUGCUCGUCACCGACGCAAGGGAAUUCCCCAACGUGCACCGUUCUUCUAAUGUGAAGCUCAUGACAAUAUCCAUUGAAUGUUGGCCCUAAUAAGAUGAGAGGAUAUUUGUAAUGAGUAAAAUAAUGAAUGAAUGAAUGAAUGAAUGAAUGAAUGAAUGAAUGAAUGAAUGAAUGAAUGAAUGAAUGAAUGAAUGAAUGAAUGAAUGAAUGAAUGAAUGAAUGAAUGAAUGAAUGAAUGAAUGAAUGAAUGAAUGAAUGAAUGAAUGAAUGAAUGAAUGAAUGAAUGAAUGAAUGAAUGAAUGAAUGAAUCAUAUUUUGGGUUGAUUUCUUGAAAUUGUGAGCCUUUCGAAAACAUUUUACUAGACCAUCUAAUGGUUGUUUCUUUCAAAGCAUGCAAUUGUUAUACUGGAAGCACAUAGUGUAGUCAUAGCCUUUAUCUCUCUUAAGUAGUUCUACCUCGAGGUUUACUUCAAAUCACGAAGAAUAUGUGAUAAGAUUAUGUGGUAUCAUGACCCGUUGUUGCACUUGGUUGGUCAUUAGCAUCAUGUGCACAAUCAUAAUCAAAAAUCCAUAUUUGCAAUACUAGUUCAGUUAUAGAUGCAGAUUUUGGCUCUCGUGUGUAUCAAUGGAUAAUACAUCUGAACCUACAAGGCAAUCCAUCCUACCAUGUUACAUUGCCUAUCAUAAUAUGAAAAUGCAAGAUUUUGAGCUAGGCGUGAACCUUUCGCCAUGGCUCCACGUGGUAGGCAAAUGUAGCACACUCUAUGUGACUUGGAACCUUAGAUGCCUAAAUCCACUCACCCUCGCUCUACCACUCUUAGCCUUGUCAUAACAAUCAUGAGCAUCAUGUUUCCUUAUACGUACCUUGUACUCAUAGGAGUUGAGGCACCCAAGGAGGUCACUCUCAAGACCAACAUUGACUUUGUUCCUAAGACCAAGCCCAUUCACCCAGCCCAUAGAGUAUCAACUCAAGCCCUAAGAAUAUGUUUCUCUUUUAUAAUGGAAUAACUUGAUAUGAGCUAGUUAUUGCACCCUAUGUAUAUAUUAUGACUAGGAUCAACUGAGAACAUAGUUGAGCUUUUACCUUGAUGAUUAACUUCCUAUACCUUGCUCUUUCCUUCCUAGUAUGUGUUCAAUGCUUGCUUUCUUAGAUACGAUUGAAGUUGAACUCAUAAUUGUUUCUCAUGGUUUGUGUGCCAUAUGAGUUGCUCAACUAGUAAUUGUUGGUGGUCCUUAACUCCUAUUUCUAACCACCAACACUCACAUAAAAUUUGCACAAAUGAACAUCAAACUUAGAAUUAGGACUUAUAACUAAUGAAUUCCAUGAGUUCUGGUGAUUUACCAUUUGCAGGAGGACAUGUCGGGAAAACACAAGAAACGUACCAAAUGUACACAAAGAACUUAGCAAAACAAACACCCGACAUGAGCCUAAGGGGAGAAGGCCCACUUACCAGGCAAAUCAUCAUGGCCUAGACAAGUAGACAAAAAAGGCCAAAACCCGUAUCAAAAUAACUCCAAAUGGAACCAAACUUUGCAAGACCCAUCUAGAGGCCCAAGAAAGGCAAACCACCAAAGAUGGGGCUAUUUGGACCCAGUUCAGGUGUGGUCACAUCCUUGGUGCGCCCGCAACCCUACUAGGCUAUACCUCGGGCCCAUCUUUGGUUAGGCGGUGCCAUCAGAUCUCCUGAUGAUGGUGUGGGUGUGGUCUCCUCCAAAUAUUCCCUACAAAUCAUCAUUUUUAGGUUAGUUUGGUGCAUUGAUGAGGGAAUAUGUCAUUGGAUUAUUCCUCCUCUCCACCUAUAAAGGAGGCCACCCCCACCUCAUUUCAAGACACCACAAGGAAUAGCUUCACUUUAAAUUCCAAGAUGUAGUAGUAGGAUAGCUCUAGUUGAGAGUUUGGGAGUUGUCGCAAAAAAAGUUGAGAGCUAGGGAGAGAUGCUCAAGUUUUGGAAGAGCCCUCGAAGUUCUGGUAUAAUCUUGUAUCGGUCCUUUGUAACAUUCAAAUAUUUCAUAUAUUUAUCUUCUCUAGUUACUUGAAUAUCUUUCAUGGUUAUCAGUUCAUGCCUUAGUGGAGUAGCUAAGUAUGGUUAGUAUAGUGGUUUUACAGCUUGAAAUUAAUGGGAUUUCUGUUUGACCGAGUGCUCUAGUUAUCAUAUGUGGCUAGAGUAGUAAUCCAUAGUGUAGACAUGGUGUCUAGACUAUAAGUUACCUGAGGUUGCACCCAACCCUAUGGAUAGUUGUGGUAGCCCUGAAGGUGACAGCUUUGACCAGGCCUUUGUAAUCCACCACAUUUGGGUUGGUGUUAUCGUAGAGCUUUUGGCAGCCUUCCCCAAAUCACACCUUCCUAGUCUUUUUGAGAAUUAAAAAGAUACUGCUGCUUUCUUAGUCUUUUUGAGAAUUAAAAAGGUACUGCUGCUCCAAAAUUAAGAUUCUUAAAAUGUAGGGAUAGGGAGAAAGUGGCAUUAGAUUGCCAAACUCCUUGAAUAUAAUCCAAUGGAAGAACAUAGAUAGAGUAGAAGAAAAUCAUGUACAUUUGAGGAAAUGCAUGGGAAAAUUUCCAUAAUAUUAAAGCUAAUAAUAGAUAUUCUUCAAAAUUUAGAGGAGUUCAUCCAUUAUAGAAGAAUCUAUGGUUGAUCUUUUGCUCAAAAUAUAAAGGGCUAUGGCACUACCACAAAAUCGGCAAACACUAUCAGUUCCAAAAGCUCAUCACUGCCAGACUUUGGAACAAUUGUGUUGUCCUACUGAUACGCAUGGGCUUGUACUAUUGGUACUACAACCGGUAGUGAUGGGCCUUUCAAAAACAAAAACCGGAGCACCCAUUGGGUCAUCGCCUGCUGCUCCAACACUAGACCUAAUGCAUUCAAUAAAAAUUUGGGAUUAGGGAAGUAUAGACCAAUAUCGGGUUGUGUUACUAACCAGCAGUGGUAAUUCUUUGUUAUAGCUAGUAGGUUUUAAAAUACGGUAGCAAUACUCAUUUUACUUCUAUACAUGUAGUGAUACUUCACUUACUACCAGAUUCAAAAUUUCGACAGUAAUGGGUUGAAUAGGAAUUGUGGUUUCUGUAAAAGUGUGUAGAAGUUUUUUCCAUGUCAUUCUUAGGUCCCGUUUGAUAGCUCUCCUUCCAGCUCUUGCAAAGAAGCCCUACCAAACAAUUUAGUAGGAGGGUCAUUUGGAGCUGUUUUUUAGUGAAAAGAAAGAAGGCUAAGUUGUGUUGGAGGAACCUUCGAGGAAGAGUCCUACAAGAUUGAGCUAAUAGAUUUUUCUUUUUUCACCAAAAGAACCUUUAUUUAUAUAGUAUGUCCUUGAAGGACUCAAUUAAGAGAAAAUGGUUAGUCUUUACAUAACUGCCCUCAAAAAGAUCCUUAUGGAAUCUGGGGCAACUACAGAAACCAGGGCAACUAAGCAAAUUUCACUACCCUAUGUUUUACAUAAGGGAACAAGGUAUAUCACCCUCUAGCAUCCCGUAACUUCGCUACAACUUUCGUGCUUAGAUCUGAAUUUUGACCUUAUUUUGCCUCCCUGCGGAUGAGAUGAUAGCAUUGUUCAUGGGGCGUUCUUCGGAGCAGAGGCUGGUCGGCGUGUCUGCUCAUGGACGCAUUCAAUGACCUUACUCAAGGAGCCAAGGGGAGCCCCAGCGACAUGCACCUCGCGUGCUGAUCCUUUGAUUACAGUGGAUGACACGUGGUGUCCAUCGGCUCAAUGGGGGCACACCCGAGACAGAAUGAGACCAUUGUGCAUCCAAUUGUUUUUCCCUUGCAUCGUAUGAAUUUUUUCUGGUUUUCUAGAUUCGCUUAAAGCUAGUCUCAAUGUAUGUUUCAUAGAGUGUCAUGCACAUUAAAUAGGGUGCCACGUAAGUAAAAUUACUGACAUGCAUGUGGCUCGGUUACCUAGUUUAUAGUUUUAGUAACUUUACAGUCUCGAUAACUGUGUCAUAAAACUAUGCAAUAAGAAAACCACGAAGCACUCUUGCAAUGCUCGGAUUGUUUUGCUUCUUAAUCUUAAUCUUAAGUAAUUAAAAUUUUGCUAACAGAACAGCCGCCAGUAUUUAAUCUCGAACAUAAUCUACCGACUAGACGCGGUUUAGUUGGCGCUGGACGAAUUGAUGAACUUAUCAUCCUUUUUAGGACAACCGUGGCAAUAAAUCGUCACAUGCACAUGCAUAUGCAUGCAGUACUUGCAUUGCAUCGCUGCAUCAAAACGUUACCAAUCAAUUCCACCGCACAAUUCCUCCAUGUGCCCUCUUUUUUUAUCAAUCCAUCCAAUUAAUAAUUUCCAGUUAAUUUUUUUUAAAUUAAAUCUAAUUAAUCCACUCAAGUAACCAAAUUCAAUGUACACUAGAAAUCCUCAUUUCUUUCUCUAUGUCACGCCGCGCACCGACGCACGCACGCACGGACGGCACGGAUCAUCAAUUGCUGUUGAACGCAGAGCAGACGUCCCUGACCUCGCCGGCGUCGUCGUCGCCGGUAAUGGCGCCGACGGUGCCCAUCUUGACCAUGGCGGCGGCGAAGUCCCGCUGGAAGCUGCGCGCCGAGGCGCCCAGGUACGCGUCGACGAGCGCGCGGGUGGCGUUGCUGUUGGCGAGCGCGGCGUCGGAGGCGAUGACGGCGAAGCCGGAGCGGAUGUUCCGGAGGAUGGAGUCGUCGAAGUCGGUCUCGCUGCCGCGGUCCAGCGGCAGGCGCGUGUUGAAAUCCCCCGGCGGGCACCGGGCCUUGAGCUCCGCCACGAACGGCGCCGGGAUCGACGGGUCGGCGCCCGUCCCGCCGCCCGGCAGCGGGUAGCUGUACAGCCGGUCCUUCACGAAGAAGCACGCCGUCGUGCCCACCGUGUGCGCCGCUGCGGCCGGUCUCGUUUCAAGUGUCAGUGGUAGGCCGGCGGCGUGCCGGCGUCCAUGUCCAUGCACGUGAAGUGUGAAGGUAUACACACCUGUGAGGAGGACGAGGUCGCGGUCGUCGAGGCCGCUGGCGGCGAACCGUGAUCGGAGCACGCUGAUGGAGUCGCCGGCGUCGGGAAGCACGUCGGCGUCGCGGAGGUUGGAGGUCAGCCCGUCGCGCCGCCCCGUGGGCACGUCGAACGACGGCCCGCCCGUCUGGUUGGUUGGUUGGCAUUUAUUCCAAUUCCCAGCGCGUCAGCUACGACGACUACUCUACGACCAUCAUCUACCUAUAUCCAGUUGAAUUGCAUGUUACCAUGGCGACGGCGUCGCGCGCGGCGAGCGCGAGGAUGUCGGCGCAGGAGACGACGCCGGGGCACUGGUCCUCGAGCUGCGCCUUGGCGGCGUCCACCACAUCCUGGCCGCGGAGGCCCUGGUUCUUGGCGUUGUCCACCUCGGCGUCGUUGGUCGCGCUCCGGAUCAGCACCGACGCGUCGCACCCCUGCAUAUAUAUAUCGCCGGACGCCGGCCGGCGAGCACGCACACACACACACAGACAGACACGUAAAAUAAAGCUAGUGUUAAUUAAUCGGCCGGCGGACUUGCUGGACAAACACACACACGUCGUGUCGAUCGUACACCUUGACGAAGCAGUCGUGGAACUGGAGGCGGAGGAGCGCGGGGAGGAUGGUGGGGUCGUUGCCGGCGGCGUCCUGGACGGCGGCGGUGACCGUGUCCUCGGCGUCCGGGCAGGAGUCGGAGUAGAACCCCACCUGGAGCUGGGCACUGCCAACUCCAACUCCAACAAGCAACAACAGCAAGAACGCCGCCGCCGCCGCCGCCGCCCCACCGGCUCUAGACGACACCACGGCACCGCGGCUGGCCGCCAUUGAUAGGUCCAAGAAGAUGAGCUAGCUAGGAGCUAAAACCUGCUGGCCGAGGCCCGCCGGAUCGAUGGACUCUAAUGCUUGACUCGGUGAAUGGACAGCAUGGCUAGCUAGCUGUGGAUGGACUGCUUGUCUUGAGGAAUGUCGUCUUUAUACACCACAGUUCACCAGGGGACAAGGAAGACGACGAUGGCACACGGACACUUUGAGUCACUGACAUGGAACAAGUGUGCAUAUAGUUUAUUGGAGGAAAAAACUGCUUGCUGGAGGAUCAUCUCACUCCCAUGUACGAUUUGUGGCUUGGCUUCCAUGUAUUGUUGCUGGACUCACGCAGCAAGAGUUUGUAUUGUCAUUGCUGUACAAAUUCAUUCCCCUUUGAAACGAGCAGUUUUGCUCGCUCGCCGUCAUCGGCUUUUCCACCAUGAAUCCACGAUGCUGUAAUUUUGGGAACAGUAAAACCCACGGGCUCAUCUACUGACGCGGCGGCGGCUGGCCUGGGACAGCGUGUACCGUCGGUUUCUCCAGCCAUUUUACUCCCGUGACUGCGUGCAGAAACACCGCCACCGUCUGCAGUGCAAGUGUAACUUUGUCCCGGCCUGCCUUCAUUCAUCCGCGGGAGAUCUCAAUGUGCAAAUGGUAGCAAGAGACCAAGAGGAGCAGCCUGAUGUAUGUAAAGCUUCUGCCCCAUUGGCUGCUUUCAUGUGUAGUAGGGCCCAAUCAGUUUUAGUUAUCUUGUCUAAAAAAAAGCAACUUUUCCAAACAAGACAUGCCAUUUUUCCUCAGAAAAGGAGAUAGUUUUCAGUUUUUUCCUUAAAAAAGGUAGUCAGUUUCCUGCUAUUCUUGUCAAAAAUAGACCCUCCCACGUUAGUUACGGUUCAUACUUUUGACCACAUAUGUGUUGGUAUGGUAACUUGUGACACAAGGGUUGGUAACCUCUCUUGAGUAGUCUCUUUCCUGAACCCAUGCAUCCAACCAUACACAACGGACUCUUUACUUUGUUUUCUCUUCAAGUUGUUGACCAUGACGUCUAUCCUCCUCUUUCAAUGCUGUGUUUGCUAUUGCAAAAUAUCUCCAAAUUCCAGCAAUUUCACUGUCAUUUCUCUAAAUUUCUUUUACACCUACAUAGUAGUACAUUUAAAUUCAUGGAGUCGCUUUUUCCGAAUCCAUGCAAGUUGUACAAUAAUCAAGGGAUCUCCCCUCACAUGUUACCUUCUCAUCCCAAUGUUGCUUGAUUGCUCAUAUCAAUGAGUCGUGAGCUCUAAGGACUUUGUAUCAGACACGGAUACACAGAUCCAGUCUUCAUAGCACCAGGUAAAUGAUGAUGUUAAAGUCUUUUUAGGUGUAGAGAUAGAGAUUCUGACCCAUGUCAGAAUAUAUUCGCCUCCUAAACAACUUCAUCGCUAGGCAAAAAUCUGAGCUGUAGGUGUCUAAAUUUGGGCGUCCAGGAACGCUUACGGUAUUGGGCAAAGUUGCACACCCAUGAUCUGUUGCUAGAGGGGACAAAUUCCCAAAUGGUUGAAGAUGAAGGAUUGUUCUACAUACCCAUUGCUCUAACCUCUAAAUAAUCAGACCAGUAUUUUUCUUUCCUUCCUCAUAAUUUCCUAAACAUCCCUCCUGAUGAGCGCCAGGCGAUGUGUCCAUGUACUAUUCUUUGAUUCAUGAAGAGAGAAGGAGACCAUGGGUGAGUAAUUUUGAGUAGCAGUAUAACACUAUAUGUACCACAUACUACAUUUCAAUGACAAGUAUAUGUAUGGACUCGGGUAUUCUUUGCAUAGCUACAGCUUCCGUGACUACGUGCAAAACACGCCACCGUCUGUAAUGCAGCUCUUUGUCCCAGCCUGCCUUCAUCCGCAGGAGAUCUAAAUGUGCAAAUGGUAGCAAGAGCCCAAGAUGGGGCGGCCUGAUGUAGUAAGCUUCUGCCCCAUUGGCUCAUGGUAGUAGGGCUCAGUCUGUUUUAGUUAAUUUUUUCUACAAAAUGGAGGAGCUUUUUGAAAGGCACUGCCAUUUUUCCUCAGAAAGACAGAAGGUUUUGUCAUUCUUUUCUUAUAAAAAAUAGGUUGUUUCACCAUGUCAGUUACCAAGUUACGGUUCAUACUUUGUGCCAAUGGUAGCAAGAGCCCAAGAUGGGGCAGCCUGAUGUAGUAAGCUUCUGCCCCAUUGGCUCAUGGUAGUAGGGCUCAGUCUGUUUUAGUUAAUUUUUUCUAUAAAAAGGAGAAGCUUUUUGAAAGGCACUGCCAUUUUUCCUCAGAAAGCCAGAAGGUUUCGUUAUUCUUUUCUUAUAAAAAAUAGAUUGUUUCACCAUGUCAGUUACCGAGAUACACAUCACAAUGGCUUCUUUACAUACCUUUUUCUCCUUGCUUUACAUACCUUUCUCUCCUUGCUUCUCUUCAAGCUGUUGACCAUGACAUCUAUCCUCCUCUUUCGAUGCUCUAUUCAGCAAUCCUUAACGUCUCCUGGAUUCUCUACCAAGUCCACAACCUCUCAAAGGGUUUGGGUUCUUAAACUCUAUGAGUGGCUUAAGUGAGAUGUGAGAAUUGUUGAGAAAAUAGACAAUUUCCAAAAUAAAACCAGCACAUAAAUCAUGACAAUCUCAAAUACUAGCAUGAGCAUUGCUCGCAUACUAAUCAGAUUAAGUGGCACGAACUUGGAUCACGGGGUGUGUACCUUUCGGCUUCAAAGGGAAACGACGUCACAGGUGAUGGAGACGUUGUUGUGAUGGGGGUACAAAGUCGUCUAUGAGUGGUGGAGGAACGUUCCCAUUGAAGAUUCUCGACGAGCCUAUGGCAAUGGAGACACGUCGUCUCGAUGGAGCCUUCGAAAAACGAGCCAUCAUGGAAGUUAGAAGUAGUCGCAUGAAAAGCGGUUCCCAAAAAAACUUUGUGCGUCCUCUCAAGGCAGGAUCACAAGGAGGAGCUCUCCUGAUCGCCGAUGCACACGAACGGUCAAGAUGGAGAGACUACAACAGCACACAACAGUAAGAAGAUGAUAAAACCAAUUGACUACCUUGAUUUUCUCCGAUCCAAACUAGAAACUCCCAAUAAUAGUUCUAAUAUUGUGUGUCUUUCUCAAAAGAAUUGGUACAUGUAUAUAGGGUGAGGAACAUCCUACCUUGACAUCAAGUAGCAAUAUGGUACUAAUUAAUGUUUCAUCUUCCAACUUUACUUAUGGGCUUAAACACUAAAGCCCGUUAGAGAACACACAUAUGGCCUUUGAGAUUUUAUUAGAAUUUAUGCAUAUGGGCUUUAGUCAACAAAAACCGUGUACUCCUACUUUUGAAACAAAAAACUGAGAAAGAUAUAUUAAUAAAACAUUUUUAAAAUUUGAAUUGCUAAUUUUUUUUCCUUCCUUCUCUACUUCAAGAUUUGAAUUGCUAAUAGAGUACGCCCCACGCUCUCGUUAUAUAACUUUUUAUGCCAAAUUAUAAAGUCAGUGAACCGUCUCCCAAACUGGUCCGUUUAUUUAAAAAGCAUGUAUCAUCAGAAAGUUUGCCGAGUGUUGUCCGUGUAUUAUUUAUUCUUUGAUUCAUGAACAGAGAAGCUUGGACCAUGUGUGAGUAAUUUCGAAUAACCUGUUCGCCGAGCUGAUUUUUUGGUUGAUAUUGAUACUGAUUUAUUAUGAGAAAAAAUAUAGUUUCAUUACUAAAAAGUAAGUAAUGCUGAUAAGUUUAAGCAGAAAUUAUUUGCAUACCUACUGCAGCUUCUUCGAUAAUAAACUCAGAAAACCCGAGCAUGCAUGGUACAUACAUAAUAACUGCGUACUUACACCACGGUGUAUAUGAAAGGUCUAAGAGUUGCCUGCCAGUAGGGUGGUCACGUACAUCAAGCUUUGUACUGUUGUGAACGUUGAACAUUUUUCAACACGUAUCCUACACUCCAUGUGCCUCAAAUCUCUUCAGGCGACCCGCUCCCACGCCCGUGCCCUAUGCCCAUGCGCUCGCGCUACCCCUGCCACCCCACGCCCAUGCCCGCGCGUGCCCACACUCCACUGAAGGCAAUCGAAGACGACGACUGUUGCGGCCUCUCCCUCUCUUUCCUCUCUAAAUUUGGCGGGCAUAGAAGGGGUACUGGGGGAAGAUAGGCUGGCUAGGCAAUGGAGAUGGGGGCGGGCGACUCCAGGUCCUGGCGGUGGUGCAGGCAACCGGGCAAGGUCAGAGCGAAGGUGUCACGGCCGUGCUCGACAUAGUUAAGAAGAUAGUGGCGGUGUAAGAGGGGGAGAGAGGAAGAAGACGGCGGCCGCGGGCACACAAGAGUAUCGUCAGAGCUCCGUGGCCACGCAGCGAGACCUUACCGCGGCACGGCAAUGCGGUGGGGGUGGGUAGUGGCUGCGCGGACACAAGGGAGAAGAAGAGUAGUGCGUGAGCUACCCUAGCCACACUAUGAAGAUCUGACGGCUAUGAAUCGUCGCCUGGAAUGAGGAGAAAAAUCAUGUGCCUGAACAUAAGCAAAUCCUAUUUUACAAAUUUUAAUUGGUCAGUAAUCCAUCGAUUCAGAGGAACUGGGAGUAAACCGAGAUACAUGAACUACUAUGCAAUCUAGAUACUAGACAAUUCAACAUCUCUAUAAGCAAGUUAUGUUCAGGCACAAGAUGGUCUCAUGUUAAUUCAGUAUGCUACUUCACUCUACAUACUACUACUAAUUUUCUAACUCUUUUACAAACCACUACUACUCUGAAUCCAUCCACUCGGUAUUUCCUCUCUAAUUGCCUACUUGCCUUCAGCAAGAACACCAGAAAGAAGGAAACAAUUCAGAUUAGCUAGAUCAAGGCAGGGGUAGAACGGCUAGGGAAGUGAGGCACCACAAGGGGUGCCCCUGUUCCUAUCCCCUUCUUGUUCUUCUCUACAGCCUUCUCACCCAUAUUCUCACUGGCCUCCCGGGAUGCUGCUUCUUCCGCCGCAUCCUUCUUUUUCCUCGCAUCUUCAGCUUCUGGCUGCUUAGAUGAUUCCGUUGCCUUCCUCGCCAUAAAACCAAAGCAAUCCAAGCCCAAGACCAUCUUGAUACUUGAUUUAAGGAUUUUGAUUAUGGAUCCCCUUUCACUUCUUGAGCGCACUUGUUUUUUUUCCUGCUCCGUAUCUCCUAGUUGUGGUUGUUCUUGAGCUGUGGUGAACUUUUGUCAGUGUUGGGUUGCUGGCUGCGAAUUGUUUAUAUAUAUAGGGAAGGGACAGAGUCCUUGUGAUGCAAGCUUUGUGGAAAUUUCAAGGAUAAGUGCAACACAUUGACAAAUGAUGCUAACAACAAAGACUAGGGCCUUGUUUAGUUCACCCCGAAAUCCAAAAAGUUUUCAAGAUUACCCGUCACAUCGAAUCUUGCGGCACAUGCAUGAAGCAUUAAAUAUAGACAAAAAUAAAAACUAGUUACACAGUUUAUCUGUAAAUCGUGAGACGAAUCUUUUGAUCCUAGUUAAUUUAUAAUUGGACAAUAUUUGUCAAAUAAAAACGAAAGUGCUACGGUAGCGAAAUUCGAAAUUUUUUCGGAAGUAAACAAGGCAUAGCUGUAGUGUAGUGGCCUAGUGGGAGUUGUUACCUUGGUGGGCAAGGAUCUUCAAGAGUCCGACAAGGCACUGCAGUAUUUCCUCUUUGGACUUUUUUUUGCAUACUAUUAUUGUGCCAUAUUUAUAUAGCAGGGAUUUUAUUACAAGUACGUCGGACUUGUUGAAAUUUAUACUUUUCAAAGGUAUCUGGAACAUUACCAGAGCAAUACUCCAAACAGCCCUUUUAUAUAAUAUAAAAGGCAAAAUCUUUAACCUAUGGAUGAGUCUCACUGCACCCUCCUGCAAAAUCUUUAACCCAUGGAUGAGUCUCAGUGUACCCUCCUGCCCGACCUUUCAAAAAGUCACUUUUUUUCCUAUUCUUGUAUCUCAUGGUAGUUUUAAUGUGAAAUCCAAAACAAAUAAAUUGGACUACAGAGCUAAAGAUGAAAAUCAUAGUAUAAAACAAAUGUGUCAAGAUGAAUCGUAGUAUAAGGCCCUGUUUAGAUUGGAGAUGGAAAUUUUUUGGUGAGGAUGUCGGAAGGGGUUUUUAGAAACUAAUAAAAAAACAAAUUACAUAGCUCAUCAGGAAACUACAAGACAAAUCUAUUAAGCAUAAUUAAUUUAUCAUUAGCACAUGUGAGUUACUGUAGCACUUAAGGCUAAUCAUGGAGUAACUAGGCUUAAAAGAUUCGUCUCACGUUUUUCAAUCAAACUGUGUAAUUAGUUUAUUUUUUUAUGUACAUUUAAUGUUCUAUACAUGUGUCCAAAGAUUCGAUGGGAUGGACGAAAAAAUUUUGGAUGGGGAACUAAACAGGGCCUAAAACAAAUGUGUGUUGCUCCAGGUAAGGACUUUUUUGCCCUGUAACAACCUGCCCUAGUUGGGACAGAGACGAGACCAGCCAGCAGGCAGGUCUUAUGGAGAAAUGAGUCAAACUGUGCAUGAUGCGUGGCAGCAAAAAGGUGUAUAUGUACUGUAUAGAAGAUAGAACCUUGAUUUAUCAAGGGAAAAAAGGGAUAGAAACCUGGCGCAUGGUUCACUUGGAUGAUUCUUGAGAAACAACACUCAACAUGGACAGUUGGUUCUUUGAGAUGGAAAUAACUACUUCACUGAUAUGCAUGCCAAAUGUUGCAUUGGGCACACAUUUAAGCGUUUGGUUGAAUGCCUUAUUAAGAUCCAUGAUGGCACACUGUGGUGAGGGCAACUCCUAGGUGCAACUUUUUUUUUAAUGACAGUGUAUCAACCAAGUUCAUUUGCUGACAAUGUUCCCAUCUGGAAGUAGCUCAUAGAUCAAAUUUUGGUUUGAGGUAAUGUUCAAGUUUUCAAGUAGAGACAAAGAGUUCCAUAAUUGAGGGUGAAGUACCUUUCAGGGUCCUCCUGUUCUGUAAGUUCAUCGGGUCAGUCUUGACUCUUGCCCAGCAUAGCAACGGCCCCACCCCUAAAUUUAAAGUUGAGUAGCACUAAGCACUUUUAUCAGAAAAGGAAAUCAUACACAACAUGCAGUGAUGAUUCAUGGGUAUCUUAAGAACUUACAUUAUGAACACACCCAACUACAGUACCCAUUGCGUUGAUGUGGCAUGUGCACUCAGCACACUCAACUACAGUACCCAUUGGGUUAACUCUAACAUCAGUCAUCUCUGUGAAUACCCACCUGAAGGACAAAAGACAACACUGAUUACUGAAUACUGGAAUCUACUAGAAAGGUACAAACUUAGGAAAGAAACAUUCACUUCGUGCAGGAACAAGAAAUAGGCCUGCUGUACUAACUUGUUAAUCAUUUGGAUUCACAAAUUCAGUGCAAAAUUAUCAAACUGAAUGCAAUCAUAAAGAGAGCUGUAGGUUUUGGUAAACAAGAUGGGACCUGGACCCUCUACCAAGUCAACACCAGUAUCCUUAAUACAUGACAGGCGCAAAACUUAACUAGUAUCAUAUAUAAUCUGCAAACUCAAAUUGAGAUCAUGUGGCAACAGUUACUCAUGCAACAGCAGCAGGACUGCAAAUUUUUAACCAACUACUCACCAUCAAAGAACUGCAGUAUUGGAAACCAUUAUCAAAAAAUGUAAUUGGACAUUAUGUAAAAAGCUUGUUAAGGAAAAAUAACAAUAUGUCGUAUAAACAUUAUCAUCAACUUCCUGAAAAGCACCAAACAUUACUACACCAGGGGCCAAAUAGGAAUAAAAAACAGGAUGUAUAGUGGCAAAAUACUUGAGCAAGAAUUGGCUAAUCUUAAACAAGAAAACAUGAAUAAAAUGGAUAUCCAAGAAGUACAGAAAUAUUAAAAUGUAAAAUCGAACAGAACCAACAAAUAUUAAAUUAACUGCACUAUGUUAAAAAGAAAAUGAAAUAUAUAUGCAAGGAGCCACUGCUGUUUUCAAUGAAAAUAAAAUACUCCAUAUAUCAUUGCCCAAGAAAGUGCAGUAAAUAUCACAUGUUUGGUAAAUUAUUAAUAAUUUUACAGAAUUUGAGAUCAUGAAAACUCAUAGCUUCAUAUUGUAGAACAUGUAAAAUAUUUAUUUGCACCAUCGUAAAAGCAAUGAUUUUCUGCUUUCCUAAGGUUACAUAGAUGAUAGAUCCUUUCUUUAUGCAACCAAAUCAAGUCUGUUUUGGCAAUUUAGUUAGUGUGAUGAUCAGUUGGCAUAAAUACAUUAAAAUUAAUACAUACCACUUACAUGAGAAAAGAUCACAUUGAUAAGCUCUGGGACUAUUGCAGAUGCCUAACUAAUCCAGAAUAAUAAAUCAAACAUCUGUAUCACUGCCAUUCUCGAACUAAAAUUGGAUCAUCACAAGUUGUGUCUUUGUUCCACUCUUUUUGUGCUUCUGAAAUAGUAAGCUGCACCAUUUGUUGCAUUUCAGUCGACUGAUGGAUCAUCACAUCGUUGGAGACAAAUGUCCGAACCGUUCCACCUAUCUCUAUCCAGCUACAGCCAGGAACCUUGCUGCCACACCUGUGUCUCAUCACACUUCUUACUUUUGCAAGCUCGUUCCAAGCUCCUGCAGCAGCAAAUGCAUUGGACAUAAGCAGAUAAUUUACUGCCUCACUUGGUUCCAGGCACAAUAGCCUAUCCGCAGCCCACUUUGCCAACUCGACUUUGCCCCGCAUCUUACAGGCACCAAGGAAAGCUCCAACAAUAUCAGCAUUGCUCUCACAAGAAAGCUUGAUAACAACGUUGUAAGCAUCUUCAAUCCUGCCAGCUCUCCCUAAGAGAUCAACCAGACAAGCAAGAUGCUGCGGAUUUGGAUCGAUGCUGUAGCCCCUCGUCAUCAUAAGGAAAUAUUGUAAGCCUUCUUCAACAAGACCAGCAUGACUACAGGCAGAAAGAACUCCAAGGAAGGCAACGCCGUCAGGCUGUACACCAUGUCGGAGCAUUCUCUCAAACACAUGAACUGCAUCCUUAGAGAGUCCAAGGUAGGCGAAAGACGAAAUCAUAGAGGACCACGAAACUACAUCUGGGUCGCAGAUCAUAGCAAACGUUUGCUUCGCCUCUCGAACAAAACCGGCCUUGCCGUACGCCGUGAUAGCAGCGUUGGCCACCUGCAGAAACCCGUGCAGACCCCUCUUCACGGCGUAAGCAUGAACCUGAGUAGCCUCGUUCGCUGCCGCCAUGCCGGCGCAGGAGCUUAGCACGCUGGCAAGCGUGAGCUCAUCCGGGGAGCAGCUCCCGUCUCUGAGCAUCCGACGGAACAGCUCAACGGCGUCCUUGCCUCCACCACCAACCCGGCCGUAGCAGACGACCAUCGCGUUCCAGGACACGACGUUCCUGACCGCCAUCGCGUCGAACACCCGGCGCGCCUCGUCGACCCGGCCGCCGCACUUGGCGUACAUGUCGAGCAGCGCGGUGGCGACCACCACGUCGGCGAGGAGACCCAGCCUGAGCACGAGGCCGUGCGCCAUGGCUCCCAUCGCGAGCAGCAGCCCCGCGUCGACAACGUUGUCGACGACGGCGGGGGGGUGGUGGUGACAACGGCGUGGCAGCGGCGGGCGGAGCAGGGCGCUGAAGGUGAACCCGUCGGGGUCGAGCCCGGAGCGGCGCGCGGCGGCGAAGAGCGCCCAGGCCUGGCGCGGGAGGCCGUGGGCGGCGUAGCAGGAGACCAUGGCGUUGCAGAGGACAAGGUCCCUGCGCGGCGGCGGUGUUUCGUCGAACACGCGGCGCGCGUGCGCGACGAGGCCCGACCGCGCGUACGCCACGGCCAGUGCCGUCGCCACGCGGGUCUCCGAGGCGCGCCCGGACUUGAGGGCCAGCGGGUGCAGCGUCCAAGCUGCGCAGGCGCGCCGGUGGCCGGCGCCGCCGGAGACGGAGCUGGCGCGGAGUAGCAGGGCAACGAGAUCGCGCCGCAUCUCGUUCGUUCGUUCCAGAGCUGACAGGACGGCGGCGGGCGGUGGCCUCGUCGCUCAUCGGUCAUCGCUGCUGAUGCGGACCAUGGCGCCUCGAACGAACAGGGCCCCGACGAGCAGCAGGCAGAGGGUGCCCUGCCCCUGCCCCUGCCCCUGCUGCAGCCUGCACUCUGCAGGACAAGAACACGGAGCCGCCCGAGCUGGCGAGCAAGGCUUUCGAAAUGACACUUGAGAUGGCCAAGGCGAACGAAUUUUUUAAACCUAAUUAAUUAAUUUAUGAUUAAACAAUAUUUAUUAAAUAAAAACAAAAGUAAUACAGUAUUAAAAUCUAAAAACUUUUUGGUUUUGUUUAGUUCACUCAAAAACAAAAAACUUUUCUAGAUUUCUCGUCACAUCAAAUCUCGACACAUACAUAGAACAUUAAAUAUAGAUGAAAAUAAAAACUAAUUGCACAGUUUGCCUAUAAAUUACGAGAUGAAUAUUUUGAACCUAGUUAGUCCAUAAUUGAACAAUAUUUGCUAAAUAAAAAUGAAAAUAUUAUAGUAGCGCAAAGAAAAAAAAAUUGAGAACAAGCCGAGUCCACGUAAACUACCAAAACGAGGUGCGGCCAUUUAACGAGAAGUGGUAUAUGUGGACUUAGACAAAUCGAGUUUUCAAGUCAAAACGGAUUGAAUACAUAUGGAUAUUAUCAUUAUUGUAUUUUGUUUUCAUAUUUCUGUCUGGAUUCAGAUUCUGAUACGGAUAGUUUUAACCAUGUUGAAUAGGAUACUAUUGGAUAUCAACAUUAUAAAUAUAUGAUUUCAGUAUUAAAUACGAAUACGGUAUCGGAUGUUGAAUAUUUGGACUCGGAUAUGAGCACAUCUAAACUCCUCUAAAUGAAUUCGGUCAGAAAAUAUCUGUAUCAUUUUCAUUCAUAGUCGUAGGCGUGAGAGUCUCGCAGUAAAACCGCAUCUAGAAGUUGAUGGCAUCAAAAAAAAUCAAGUUUGUGGGAGGCAUGUGAGAGUAGGAGUUAAUCAUUUGAUACUGUACACAAUAUGGUAAUAGUCACAGGUGUUCAGAUGACCUCACAUUGUACAGCAACGAUUUUUGAAUGCAAAUGUGCACCAAGCCGACCUAGCUCAGUGGUAGAGCGCGUGGCUUUUAACCACGUGGUCGUGGGUUCGAUCCCCACGGUCGGCGUUUGAGCAUUUUUCUCAACUCAUUAUGAUGCUCUUUUUUACCUUUAAAAGAAACAUAUCUUAUGUCUCAGCCGCUGCAAAAUAGUACAACUUUCUGGAUAAUGCUCUUCUUUUCAUAUACUAUAUGUAGUUGUUUUAAAGAACAACUAUUAUGUCUCCGCCGCUGCAAAAUACAACCUUCCGGAAACCAUUCCAAAAUUCAUCUUUGUACGUAAACUGUAAUCAAUACGUUUCCAGAUAUACAAAUACUCAUUUUAUAAAAAACAAUACAUGUUUACCUAUAUGUUUUAAAAGAAACAUAUCUUAUGUCUCAGCCGCUGCAAAAUACAACUUUCUGGGAUAAUGCUCUUUUUUUCAUCCCUACCUAUAUGUAGUUGUUUUAAAGAAGCAUCUGUUAAGUCUCGGCCGCUGCAAAAUACAACUUUCUGGAUAAUUCUCUUUUCUUUUUUUUUUCAUAGUUGUUUUAAAGAAACAUCUGUCAUGUCUCUGCCGCUGCAAAUACAAACUUUCCGUGGAAACCAUUCCAAAAUUCAUCUUUGUACGUAAACUGUAAUCAAUACUUUUCCAGAUAUAUACAAAUACUCAUUUUUUAAAAAAGAUAAACAAUACAUGUUUACCGCUGCUGCAAAUACAACUUUCCAGAAACCAAAUUAAAAUGACCUAGACACCAUUUCAGAUUUUUCAGUUACAAGUUUUCAGCAAAUGGCCUACAGUGUCCAACAAAUUAUAAUAUUUCUCAUUUCUAGUAAUAACACCAAAAACUCCAAAACGAAACAAAAGUUCAAUUAAAUAAAUUUUGAUUUGACAUACAGAAAAAAAUUUAAGAUACCUUGUGUUCCCUGUAGACCUAUCCAAAAUUAUGUUCAUGUUUUUGUUUAAAUAAAAAAAACUCAAAUAAACAAGUUUACUACAUAAUAAUAUAUAAAUAAAACAAAAAAAAGAAUAUUAUAUUUAAAUAAAACAACAAGAGUACCAAGGGGACCCUCUUGCGUUAGACGUAAACUAAAAAAAUGUUUGUGUUUAUGUUUUAAAGUUGGGGAUCAGAUGGUAAAGUCAUUGGGGUGCCCCUGUUGUCGUAACAGGCUUAUUUGGGGCGGGCACCCCUCUCGCAUAGUAAUAAUUGCGAGCUUAUACCACUCCUCAUUUCCCUUUAACUGCCUGAAGGAUCAUGGUUUGUUGCGGCGGCACCCCCCACCUCUAUAAUGCAGCCGGUGGUGUGCGACCAGCUGUGCUCCGCCGAUGUGGGACUAAAAAUGCUCCACUGCCACAGUGACACUGUGCUGCUGGCAGUGGCAGCCGAGCCGAGCAGCCUGGUGCGAGUGCGAAUCGGACGGAGCUCGCCGAUGGGCCGUGGACUGGCCAGGCCUAUUUAAAUGGGCCGAGAAUUGUACUCAGUCAACAUCUGGCCCGGCUCGACUUGGCCUGCU
rnacentral:lncRNA from 1 species